ACUAAGUUUUUUUCUCCUCUUUCUCUCUAAACCUUUUCUUCUUCCUUUCUUCCUCCGUUUCUCCUCGUCUAAAUAUAAAAAAAAAGCGAAAACAUACCUACGUUUCUCCUCUCGCAAAAUCAAAAUCAAAAUUGAAGCUUGUACUUCUCCGUUUCAGCUCUCGCAAAAUCAAUUUCUCGCAACUCGCAAAAAUCGAAGCUCGUACUUCUCCGUUUCUACUCUCGCAAAAUCAAUUUCUCACAACUCUCGCAAAAUCAAAGCUCGUACUUCUCUGUUUCUACUCUCGCAAAAUCAAUUUCUCACAACUCUCGCAAAAUCAAAGCUCGUACAGAUUGUUGAAGUUUUAUAGUUCAUUGGUAAGAAAGAAGGUCUGCAACUUCCUCCUACUUUUGCUGCUCGCAUAGCAGAGAAAUCUAACCGGAAUUUAAGGAGGGCCAUAUUGUCAUUUGAGACUUGCCGUGUCCAACAAUAAGCUCCACUAGCUUUCAAUUUAACAUGGGAUUCAUAAUCUCAUAUAUUAUUCUUUUAUCAAAGCUUUAAGGAAAACUAUUGAUAGCCCUUAUGCAUAUUGUCUUACUUGUAGGUAUCCUUUAACUGACAAGCAAACAAUUUCACCAAUGGACUGGGAAGAAUAUAUUUCUGAAAUUGCAUCUGACAUAAUGAAGGAACAAAGUCCAAAAAGGAUAUAGGAUAAGGGGAGUUUGCCUGCAUACCUACCUGAUAGUGUUGUCAACUAAUCUCUUGUUUUGAUUACAUACCAUGCACAUUUUUUCUCCCAUAUAAUAUGCUCUUUAUGUUUAUGCUGUUUCAAGUUCGGGGAAAGCUGUAUGAGUUGCUGAUCUAUUGCUUUCCUCCAGAGAAGUGUAUCGUGGUGAAUGGCAUGGAACUGAAGUUGCUGUAACUCGACUUCUAAAGUAAGUUAUGAUAUCAAAUAUAUGGAAGAAUUAAGAUUUAUGCGUCUGGAAUUGUGAUCUGAUUAUACAGCAGCUGCAAGCUAAGGCUAUCAAUUCAGAUAGGGCUGGUCUGGUGCAGCGAAAAAAGCCUACCCUUUUGCGGCUGAAAUGCAAUUCAGACACAUCUCUUGCAUGUCCUCAAAAUCAGAAAAUCGUUAUAGGUUUGGAAAAGUUGAAACAGAGACACCAGUUCAUUUGCCGCAACAAACAACUAGAUGUGCCAAAAUAUAAAGGUUUAGCUAAGCUAUACUUAGAAGAAUCAAGUGAAGGGUUUUCUAUGUCAAUGGUAAAAGAUGAAGAUGGGAGCCCGACCGGAUAUUCAGAACGAAGUUCUUUGUUGUUUUGCCCUUCCAGCUAGCUAGCAUGGAGAUUUGUUAUAUUUUAAGUUGUUGUGAAAUAUAUAUUUACAGUUUAGCUAAUCAUGAACCAACCACUCAUAGGAUGUCAUAAAAAGAUGUUUGAAUUCUGUCAUGAACCUACUUGUCUUUGUUCAACAUUACCAAAACUCAUUCAAAACAAUUGUCAACAAUAGAUAUUUGUAUCA